GACGAACGCUGGCGGCGUGCUUAACACAUGCAAGUCGAACGGAAAGGCCCUGCUUUUGUGGGGUGCUCGAGUGGCGAACGGGUGAGUAACACGUGAGUAACCUGCCCUUGACUUUGGGAUAACUUCAGGAAACUUGGGCUAAUACCGGAUAGGAUCUCCUGCUGCAUGGUGGGGGUUGGAAAGUUUCGGCGGUUGGGGAUGGACUCGCGGCUUAUCAGCUUGUUGGUGGGGUAGUGGCUUACCAAGGCUUUGACGGGUAGCCGGCCUGAGAGGGUGACCGGCCAAAUUGGGACUGAGAUACGGCACAGACUACUACGGGAGGCAGCAGUGGGGAAUAUUGCACAAUGGGAGGAAGCCUGAUGCAGCAACGCCGCGUGCGGGAUGACGGCCUUCGGGUUGUAAACCGAUUUCGCCUGUGACGAAGCGUGAGUGACGGUAAUGGGUAAAGAAGCACCGGCUAACUACGUG
rnacentral:rRNA from 1 species